rnacentral:rRNA from 1 species
GACGAACGCUGGCGGCGUGCUUAACACAUGCAAGUCGAACGGAAAGGCCCCCAUCUUGGUGGGGGUGCUCGAGUGGCGAACGGGUGAGUAACACGUGGGUGAUCUGCCCUGUACUUCGGGAUAAGCUUGGGAAACUGGGUCUAAUACCGGAUAGGACCAUGGUUUAGUGUCUCAUGGUGGAAAGAUUAUUGUUUUGGUGCAGGAUGAGCUCGCGGCCUAUCAGCUUGUUGGUGUGGUAAUGGCCUACCAAGGCGUCGACGGGUAGCCGGACUGAGAGGGUGGACGGCCACAUGGGGACUGAGAUACGGCCCAGACUCCUACGGGAGGCAGCGGUGGGGAAUAUUGCACAAUGGGAGCAAGCCUGAUGCAGCGACGCCGCGUGGGGGAUGACGGCCUUCGGGUUGUAAACUCCUUUCGUGAGGGACGAAGCCGCACUUUUCUUGGGUGUGGUGACGGUACCUUUGUUAAGAAGCACCGGCUAACUACGUG